UCAAACUUGGUCAUUUAGAGGAAGUAAAAGUCGUAACAAGGUCUCCGUAGGUGAACCUGCGGAGGGAUCAUUACAGAGUUCAUGCCUCCGGGCAGACCUCCCACCCGAUGUUAUCGCUACGACCGUUGCUUUGGCGGGCCGCCGGGCCCAGCCCGGCCGCCGGCUCCGGCUGGCGCGCGCCCGCCAGAGGCCCCUUAACACUGGAUGUCGUCGUCGUCUGAGUACUACUUAAUAAGUCAAAACUUUCAACAACGGAUCUCUUGGUUCUGGCAUCGAUGAAGAACGCAGC
rnacentral:misc_RNA from 1 species